GGGCUGGAGAUGUACACACACUAAAGCUGGGCGGGCGAUACAGAGAAGAUUAGCAUGGCCCCUGCGCAAGGAUGGCACGAAAAUCAUGAAGCGUUCCAAAAACAA
rnacentral:snRNA from 1 species